GAUGAACGCUGGCGGCGUGCCUAAUACAUGCAAGUCGAGCGAACAGACGAGGAGCUUGCUCCUCUGACGUUAGCGGCGGACGGGUGAGUAACACGUGGAUAACCUACCUAUAAGACUGGGAUAACUUCGGGAAACCGGAGCUAAUACCGGAUAAUAUAUUGAACCGCAUGGUUCAAUAGUGAAAGACGGUUUUGCUGUCACUUAUAGAUGGAUCCGCGCCGCAUUAGCUAGUUGGUAAGGUAACGGCUUACCAAGGCGACGAUGCGUAGCCGACCUGAGAGGGUGUUCGGCCACACUGGAACUAAGACACGGUCCAGACUCCUACUCUACGCACCUGUCCGGCACCUUCCUCAAUGGGCGAAAGUCUGACCGAGCAACGCCCCGUGAGUGCUGAAGGUGUUCGGAUCGUAAAACUCUGUUCUUAGGGAAGAACAACUGUGUAGUUAGCUAUUCUCAUCUUGACGUUACCUAAUCAGAAUGCCACGGCUGACUUCGUG
rnacentral:rRNA from 1 species